rnacentral:rRNA from 1 species
CAGUAGCCACGGUAAUACGGAGGGAGCUAGCGUUGUUCGGAAUUACUGGGCGUAAAGCGCACGUAGGCGGUUAUUCAAGUCAGAGGUGAAAGCCCGGGGCUCAACCCCGGAACUGCCUUUGAAACUAGAUGACUGGAAUCUUGGAGAGGUCAGUGGAAUUCCGAGUGUAGAGGUGAAAUUCGUAGAUAUUCGGAAGAACACCAGUGGCGAAGGCGACUGACUGGACAAGUAUUGACGCUGAGGUGCGAAAGCGUGGGGAGCAAACAGGAUUAGAUACCCGCGUAGUCCCUGUCUCUUAUAC